rnacentral:lncRNA from 7 species
UAGACAAGCUUCCAAUCAUAUAAUAGAGAAUAGUCCACACCUUAUUACUUCUAGGUAAAUAAAAUUUAUAUUGUAGAUUAUAUAUGUUAAGAAAUAGUUUAAUCCUAAUUCUUAUAUAUAUUCUAAUCCAAAGGCAAUUUAGUUUAUGUAAGGAUCUUUAAUUAUAAAUAUUUUUUUAACAUAUUCAUUUUGGGAGUAGAAACUUCC